AUGUCAGGGGGCAUUUCCUAGUCAGAUCUUUGAAUCUCUCCCAGGCUUCAUAAAUGGUCUCACCAUCUAGUUGUCUGAACGUCUGCACUUUAGUUCUCAACCU